GGUCAUUGUGAUCAGAGACACAGUUCUUAUUAAGUAUCUCACAGUAAAAAUACAGGCGUUGCCCCCUCGCCCAGGACUGCACCUGGGGCCGUGUGUUGAGAGCAGGUCAAUUGUUCCACAACAGCAGGUGCAGAACGGAAGAAAACCUUGUCCCUCCUGCUGAGAAGGGCCUUCUCCUCUCCUGGGAAGGAUGUCCUCCUUACUCUGGCCUUUGGUGGGUGCAGCGUCUCCGCACACGGCACCCCCAGCCCAAGCAAGAGCAUCGGCCAAGCUGGUUCACACCAGGAACUGGGGUUUGAAGAGCCGGAAGCAAGGCCUCUGCAGGAAACACCCAGCAAGCAAGAGAAGCCAGACUACGCACAAGGGAAAGGAGGGCAUCUGAACAUGUUCGUUACAGCUCUCUGCUCUAUCAUGGGAGGCAGUCUGAAACAGAAGGCUGGAGCAGUUAACCCCACAAGGACAGCAAUGAUGUUCUGUAGGGGAAGCCUGAGAGGCUAUGGUGUGGAGGCCGACCAAGCGUGGGAAUCUAAAAUCGGCAGGAAAGGGUGGGGGUCUCUCUGCAGGGCCCACCACUUACCAGUCGGCCUUCCAAGCAGUCGACGGCGGCCCCCCGGGCCAGCAGGUACCGCACACAGUCCGGGUGUCCCAUGGAGGCAGCCUCGUGCAGAGAGAGCCCGCUUGUAGUCCUGGUG
ensembl:lncRNA